rnacentral:rRNA from 1 species
AUUGAACGCUGGCGGCAGGCCUAACACAUGCAAGUCGAGCGGGGUUUUCGGACCUAGCGGCGGACGGGUGAGUAAUGCGUAGGAAGCUACCCGAUAGAGGGGGAUACCAGUUGGAAACGACUGUUAAUACCGCAUAAUGCCUACGGACCAAAGUGUGGGACCUUCGGGCCACAUGCUAUCGGAUGCGCCUACGUGGGAUUAGCUAGUUGGUGGGGUAAUGGCUCACCAAGGCGACGAUCCCUAGCUGGUUUGAGAGGAUGAUCAGCCACACUGGAACAGAGACACGGCCCAGACUCCUACGGGAGGCAGCAGUGGGGAAUAUUGGACAAUGGGCGCAAGCCUGAUCCAGCCAUGCCGCGUGUGUGAAGAAGGCCUUCGGGUUGUAAAGCACUUUCAGCGAGGAGGAAGGGAGUUGUGUUAAUAGCACAGCUUUUUGACGUUACCUACAGAAGAAGCACCGGCUAACUCUGUGCCAGCCGCCGCCGUAAUAC